rnacentral:rRNA from 1 species
GAUGAACGCUGGCGGCGUGCCUAAUACAUGCAAGUCGAGCGAACCACUUCGGUGGUGAGCGGCGAACGGGUGAGUAACACGUAGGUGAUCUGCCCAUCAGACGGGGACAACGAUUGGAAACGAUCGCUAAUACCGGAUAGGACGAAAGUUUAAAGGUGCUUCUGGCACUGCUGAUGGAUGAGCCUGCGGCGCAUUAGCUAGUUGGUAGGGUAAAGGCCUACCAAGGCGACGAUGCGUAGCCGACCUGAGAGGGUGAACGGCCACACUGGGACUGAGAACCGGCCCAGACUCCUACGGGAGGCAGCAGUAGGGAAUCUUCGGAAAUGGGCGAAAGCCUGACCGAGCAACGCCGCGUGAAUGAUGAAGGCCUUCGGGUUGUAAAAUUCUGUUAUAAGGGAAGAACGACUUUAGUAGGAAAUGGCUAGAGUGUGACGGUACCUUAUGAGAAAGCCACGGCUAACUACGUGCCAGCCGCCGCCGUAA